AUGCAGCGACCGGCGCGGGUGGGCGACGAAACGGAACACUGGAGGCCGAUAGCGAGGCGUCGCUGGGCGUGGCGCCGGACGGGCCAGGGGGCGGGGCGGCAGUGCGUGUGCACGCGCCGGCCACGCCGACCGAGACGAGAGCGGCGGGGGCCACCGGCCACGCCACGCCACGCCACGGACGGCAACUUGCUUGCGCUCGCCCCUCCGGCCACCCACUGGGCUGGGCUGGGCUGGCCGGUUUUAAUAAUCGACCGGCACGGCACGCACGCACGCACGCAUGCCGCGCUGGAACCGUCCAACCGCCGGCCGGCGGGCGGAGUCGGCAGUGGAAUUCCAGGGCAGGAGCAUUAUCCGCCGAUCCGUAUCAUGCGCCUCUUAAUCUAUCAUGAUUAG
rnacentral:rRNA from 1 species